rnacentral:rRNA from 1 species
AACGGGUGAGUAACACGUAAGCAACCUGCCCUUAAGACGAGGAUAACAAUUGGAAACAGUUGCUAAGACUGGAUAGGAAAAGUAAAGGCAUCUUUACUUUUUUAAAAGACCUUCUUUGGAGGUAUGCUUAAGGAGGGGCUUGCGACACAUUAGUUAGUUGGCAGGGUAAAGGCCUACCAAGACUAUGAUGUGUAGCUGGACUGAGAGGUUGAACAGCCACAUUGGGACUGAGACACGGCCCAAACUCCUACGGGAGGCAGCAGUAGGGAAUUUUCGGCAAUGGAGGAAACUCUGACCGAGCAACGCCGCGUGAACGAUGAAGUACCUCGGUAUGUAAAGUUCUUUUAUUAAGGAAGAAAAAAGAGUGGAAAAACUCCCUUGACGGUACUUAAUGAAUAAGCCCCGGCUAAUUAUGUGCCAGCAGCCGCGGUAAUACAUAAAGGGCGAGCGUUAUCCGGAAUUAUUGGGCGUAAAGGGUGCGUAGGCGGUUUAAUAAGUCUAUAGUUUAAUUUCAGUGCUUAACGCUGUUGUGCUAUAGAAACUGUUUUACUAGAGUGAGAUAGAGGCAAGCGGAAUUCCAUGUGUAGCUGGAAAAUGCGUAAAUAUAUGGAGGAACACCAGAGGCGUAGGCGGCUUGCUGGGUCUUUACUGACGCUGAGGCACGAAAGCGUGGGGAGCAAACAGANNNNNNNNNNNNNNNNNNNNNNNNNNNNNNNNNNNNNNNNNNCUGAGUCGGGUAAAACCGGUACUGAAGUUAACACAUUAAGUACUCCGCCUGAGUAGUACGUACGCAAGUAUGAAACUUAAAGGAAUUGACGGGACUCCGCACAAGCGGUGGAUCAUGUUGUUUAAUUCGAAGAUACACGAAAAACCUUACCAGGUCUUGACAUUUUCUUGCGAAGUUAUAGAAAUAUAAUGGAGGUUAUCAGGAAAACAGGUGGUGCAUGGUUGUCGUCAGCUCGUGUCGUGAGAUGUUAGGUUAAGUCCUAAAACGAGCGCAACCCUUGUCGUUAAUUGCCAGCAUGUAAUGAUGGGGACUUUAACGAGACUGCCAAUGAAAAAUUGGAGGAAGGUGGGGAUUACGUCAAAUCAUCAUGCCCCUUAUGAUCUGGGCUACAAACGUGAUACAAUGGUUGAUACAAAGAGUAGCUGAAACGCGAGUUCUUAGCCAAUCUCACAAAAUCAAUCUCAGUUCGGAUUGAAGUCUGCAACUCGACUUCAUGAAGUUGGAAUCGCUAGUAAUCGCGAAUCAGCAUGUCGCGGUGAAUACGUUCUCGGGGUUUGUACACACCGCCCGUCAAACCACGAAAGUUGGCAAUACCCCAAAGCGGUCGCCUAACUUCGUAAGAAGAAGGAUCCGUCUAAGGUAGGGUCGAUAAUUGGGGUUAAGUCGUAACAAGGUAUCCCUACCGGAAGGUGGGGAUGGAU